rnacentral:rRNA from 1 species
UCAGACGAUGCGUCAUGCAUAUCAAUAAGCGGAGGAAAAGAAACUAACAAGGAUUCCCCUAGUAACGGCGAGUGAAGCGGGAAGAGCUCAAAUUUGAAAUCUUAAAGGGUUUCCCUUUACGAAUUGUAGUUUAAAGAAGUGUUUUCUGUUGAGGUUUUGGUAAAAGUUCUUUGGAAUAGGACAUCAUAGAGGGUGAGAAUCCCGUAUUUGACCUUUACUUUCAACUUUGUGAUACACUUUCAAAGAGUCGGAUUGUUUGGGAAUGCAGUCCAAAAUGGGUGGUAAAUUUCAUCUAAAGCUAAAUAUUGGCGAGAGACCGAUAGCGAACAAGUACCGUGAGGGAAAGGAUGAAAAGAACUUUGAAAAGAGAGUUAAACAGUACGCUGAAAUUGUCAAAAGGGAAGCGUUUGACACCAGUGUUGUUUUUCCUGAAAAUCAAUUAAAGAACUGUUUAUGCUAAGUUGUUUAGACUUUAUCAGCUAUCUGUUUAGUUUUGAGCUUUUCUUUAAUGCACUUUUCAGUUAACAAGUCAACAUCAAUUUCUUUUGCUGUAAAAAAGCUUGAGGAAGGUGGCUUGAGAUUCGUCUUAAGUGUUUAUAGCCUCUUGCCUAUGCAGUCGGAGAGAUUGAGGUCUGCAGCGUAGAUCCUUCGGGGCUAAAUGCAUUUGUGCUAAGUUAUAGCAUUUUAUAGACAACUUGUUGACUAUGAUUUGUCUUGUAGCUUACUCGCUUAUGUUAUUUUACCUACGCUUAGGAUGUUGACACACGCGCGUGCUCG